AGUCAUAGAAUCACCAGCGUUGGAAAAGACCCCCAAGACCACAUAGUCCAACCAUCUGCCUACCAUCAGUACUUCCCCACUAAACCAUGUCCCGUAAUACCACAUCUAAACAUUUAUUUCCAGUUGUAAACUAAAAUUCAGAAGGCAGAUAACUAGCCUUUGCCAUCCAAAUGAAAGUUAUUUGCAUUUCAUUUGCAAGUUGCUUGGCAGUCAAGGUGUUUCUAACCAUCCACCUUGAUUUGGUUCCUACAUUGCCUGUUACAUUGAGAAAAGAAAACAAAAAUGGCCACGUCACGGAGAAACAAGCUGUUCCUGAUCCAGUAACCUUCCAAACCAAGAACAGCUUUUUCAUACAACUGUCUGGACAUAGUUUAUCUGCUUUUCUCACCCCUCAACAAGUAGUGAAAGUCCUUGGCUUUAGUGGCAGGAGGUACAGAAUGUUCCAUUUGAUAUAGCAUGGAAUCAAGCACGAACCACUACUCAGCUGUACCACCCCUCUCACUCUGCUCCAGAUCAGACUGAACUAAAGUGUCUGUAAUGUGGGGAGCUGGAAUUUGAGAAACAAAAGACAGAAGGAUGCUUUGCUUGAACAAGUGAUACAGGCAAAUUGCUGCCAGUGGGUGAACAAUAAUGUAGCUGACUGUGAGAAGGAAGACUCACUGUCCAUCUAUGGCAAAAACAAACAAACAAACAAACAAAACACCCCGAGAAUUUUAUUUUCCAUAGAUACUCCUGAAAUGUGUUGUAUGGAUUCCCCUCUUCACCAUUACAGCCCCAAACAGCUUGAAGAGAUUACCCAUUGGAGGUGCCCCUACCACACCCAGAAGAAGAUCCAGUAACAUCCUUAAAAACAAAUCCACCUGGUUAUGCCUAUACUGGCAAGCUGAUAAUCAGAUCCUGACACUGCUAUUUUGCUAUCUCUGCUGACAAACUGCUAAAAAAAGGUUCUGCUAUGGUUCUGGCCUUGACCAGCAUGCACAUUCCCAAAUAUACAGUCUGCAAAUAUUUAGAGCUGGGAAAGGCCAGAGACCCUUCCUGUGGCAGGGAGGUUGGAACAAGAUGAUCUUUAAGAUCCCUUUCUAUCCAAGACAUUCUACAACUAUGACUAUUUCCCAAUAAGUAGCUUAAUGUGGCAAUCUUGUUUAUGAGACUUCAGUAGUCGAAAGAGGACCAAUCCAUGCCAGCUGGCCAAAAGUUUCAGGACUUCCGAAUUUAUGAGUACAGACAUAGGCCUCAUGUUGUACAUGUUGAUGUGAUAAAAGCUACACUUAUUGCUAUGAAAUCAGUGAUUCCUAACAUUAAUAACACUUGUGGAGAGAGCAGAAAACUUAUAGAGGUGAAAAAAAACAAGAUUAUAUCCUCCAGGUCAAUAAGUGUCCGUGUUAAUUGAAAUAGAGGUGAAAGCAGGUGGAGUGAAUGGAUGUGCUAUUUUGAGAAGACAGUGGAAACAGGGCCAGAGCCCAUUUGGGGCAUUUAAAGACCAAGGAUUCUUUUUACCUCACAGUGUCUGCAGAUGUGUUUUCAUGAUUCCAGACUGUGUUGUGCUACUUUGUAUGGUGAUCAACUCUUUUCCAUGGCGCAGGGAGAUAUUUUCAUUAUAGCAAGACAAAAUGGGCUUCCCAAACCAUGACCUUUUGUUAGAAAUUCAAAAUGCAGAGCAAAUUCCCACAGAUUUGCUAACUUUCUAGACAAAUUGUUGUGAAGUUUUGAGAGCUGAACAGGCAGAAGACACUAACAUAUACCUAUUAUAUAGACAAAAAUAAGAAGGAAAACUGAUUUAAUUUUAAAAAAGGAGUACACUAGUCCUAAACACAUACAUAUGUAUCCAUACAGACAUUAUUACAACCCAUUUGCUUAUAAGAGAAUAAUGAGAUCUCUUUUUGUAAAAUUGAGGAAAAUUCUUUAAAAAUAGGAAAAGUAAAAGUAGGCAAAGCAAAAUUAAU